CGCGUCUAUGUGAUUUCGCUUCCAGAGUGGUUGCCAUGAAACCAACAACAGAACAUGAGCAAGCCCCACUCCACUGAAUAUC
rnacentral:tRNA from 1 species